CGCGUAGGCGGCUAGACAAGUCAAAGGUGAAAUCCCUCGGCUCAACUGAGGAACUGCCUUUGAAACUGUCUGGCUUGAGGCCGGGAGGGGGUAGCGGAAUUCCCAGUGUAGCGGUGAAAUGCGUAGAUAUUGGGAGGAACACCAGUGGCGAAGGCGGCUACCUGGACCGGUACUGACGCUGAUGCGCGAAAGCGUGGGUAGCAAACA
rnacentral:rRNA from 1 species